AGGAAGAAGAUAUGACGGUACUUGAAGAAUAAGCCACGGCUAAUUCCGUGCCAGCAGCCGCGGUAAUACGGGAGUGGCAAGCGUUAUCCGGAAUUAUUGGGCGUAAAGCGUCCGCAGGCGGCUUAUCAAGUCUGCUGUUAAAGCGUGGAGCUUAACUCCAUCAAGGCAGUGGAAACUGAUAGGCUUGAGUAUGGUAGGGGCAGAGGGAAUUUCCGGUGUAGCGGUGAAAUGCGUAGAUAUCGGGAAGAACACCAGUGGCGAAGGCGCUCUGCUGGGUUAUUACUGACGCUCAUAGACGAAAGCCAGGGUAGCAAAUGGGAUUAGAUA
rnacentral:rRNA from 1 species